rnacentral:rRNA from 1 species
GUUGUAAGGUUAAGUGACUAAGCGUACAUGGUGGAUGCCUAGGCAGUCAGAGGCGAUGAAGGGCGUGCUAAUCUGCGAAAAGCGCCGGCAAGGUGAUACGAACCGCUAUAGCCAGCGAUACCCGAAUGGGGAAACCCAGUGCGAUACGUCACACUAUCGUUAAGUGAAUACAUAGCUUGACGAGGCAAACCGGAGGAACUGAAACAUCUAAGUACCCCGAGGAAAAGAAAUCAACCGAGAUCCCCCCAGUAGCGGCGAGCGAACGGGGGCCAGCCCAGAACCUAAAUCAGCGGGCGUGUUAGUGGACGCGUCUGGAAAGUCGCGCAGUAAAGGGUGAUAGCCCCGUACACAAAAAUGCACUGGCUGUGAGUUCGAUGAGUAGGGCGGGACACGUGACAUCCUGUCUAAAUACGGGGGGCCAUCCUCCAAGGCUAAAUACUCCUGACUGACCGAUAGUGAACCAGUACCGUGAGGGAAAGGCGAAAAAAACCCCGGCGAGGGGAGUGAAAAAGAACCUGAAACCGUGUACGUACAAGCAGUGGGAGCACCGUUAAGGUGCGACUGCGUACCUUUUGUAUAAUGGGUCAGCGACUUAUAUUUUGUAGCAAGGUUAACCGCAUAGGGGAGCCG